rnacentral:rRNA from 2 species
GGUUAAGCGACUAAGCGUACACGGUGGAUGCCCUGGCAGUCAGAGGCGAUGAAGGACGUGCUAAUCUGCGAUAAGCGUCGGUAAGGUGAUAUGAACCGUUAUAACCGGCGAUUUCCGAAUGGGGAAACCCAGUGUGUUUCGACACACUAUCAUUAACUGAAUCCAUAGGUUAAUGAGGCGAACCGGGGGAACUGAAACAUCUAAGUACCCCGAGGAAAAGAAAUCAACCGAGAUUCCCCCAGUAGCGGCGAGCGAACGGGGAGCAGCCCAGAGCCUGAAUCAGUGUGUGUGUUAGUGGAAGCGUCUGGAAAGGCGCGCGAUACAGGGUGACAGCCCCGUACACAAAAAUGCACAUGCUGUGAGCUCGAUGAGUAGGGCGGGACACGUGGUAUCCUGUCUGAAUAUGGGGGGACCAUCCUCCAAGGCUAAAUACUCCUGACUGACCGAUAGUGAACCAGUACCGUGAGGGAAAGGCGAAAAGAACCCCGGCGAGGGGAGUGAAAAAGAACCUGAAACCGUGUACGUACAAGCAGUGGGAGCACGCUUAGGCGUGUGACUGCGUACCUUUUGUAUAAUGGGUCAGCGACUUAUAUUCUGUAGCAAGGUUAACCGAAUAGGGGAGCCGAAGGGAAACCGAGUCUUAACUGGGCGUUAAGUUGCAGGGUAUAGACCCGAAACCCGGUGAUCUAGCCAUGGGCAGGUUGAAGGUUGGGUAACACUAACUGGAGGACCGAACCGACUAAUGUUGAAAAAUUAGCGGAUGACUUGUGGCUGGGGGUGAAAGGCCAAUCAAACCGGGAGAUAGCUGGUUCUCCCCGAAAGCUAUUUAGGUAGCGCCUCGUGAAUUCAUCUCCGGGGGUAGAGCACUGUUUCGGCAAGGGGGUCAUCCCGACUUACCAACCCGAUGCAAACUGCGAAUACCGGAGAAUGUUAUCACGGGAGACACACGGCGGGUGCUAACGUCCGUCGUGAAGAGGGAAACAACCCAGACCGCCAGCUAAGGUCCCAAAGUCAUGGUUAAGUGGGAAACGAUGUGGGAAGGCCCAGACAGCCAGGAUGUUGGCUUAGAAGCAGCCAUCAUUUAAAGAAAGCGUAAUAGCUCACUGGUCGAGUCGGCCUGCGCGGAAGAUGUAACGGGGCUAAACCAUGCACCGAAGCUGCGGCAGCGACGCUGAUGCGUUGUUGGGUAGGGGAGCGUUCUGUAAGCCUGCGAAGGUGUGCUGUGAGGCAUGCUGGAGGUAUCAGAAGUGCGAAUGCUGACAUAAGUAACGAUAAAGCGGGUGAAAAGCCCGCUCGCCGGAAGACCAAGGGUUCCUGUCCAACGUUAAUCGGGGCAGGGUGAGUCGACCCCUAAGGCGAGGCCGAAAGGCGUAGUCGAUGGGAAACAGGUUAAUAUUCCUGUACUUGGUGUUACUGCGAAGGGGGGACGGAGAAGGCUAUGUUGGCCGGGCGACGGUUGUCCCGGUUUAAGCGUGUAGGCUGGUUUUCCAGGCAAAUCCGGAAAAUCAAGGCUGAGGCGUGAUGACGAGGCACUACGGUGCUGAAGCAACAAAUGCCCUGCUUCCAGGAAAAGCCUCUAAGCAUCAGGUAACAUCAAAUCGUACCCCAAACCGACACAGGUGGUCAGGUAGAGAAUACCAAGGCGCUUGAGAGAACUCGGGUGAAGGAACUAGGCAAAAUGGUGCCGUAACUUCGGGAGAAGGCACGCUGAUAUGUAGGUGAAGCGACUUGCUCGUGGAGCUGAAAUCAGUCGAAGAUACCAGCUGGCUGCAACUGUUUAUUAAAAACACAGCACUGUGCAAACACGAAAGUGGACGUAUACGGUGUGACGCCUGCCCGGUGCCGGAAGGUUAAUUGAUGGGGUUAGCGCAAGCGAAGCUCUUGAUCGAAGCCCCGGUAAACGGCGGCCGUAACUAUAACGGUCCUAAGGUAGCGAAAUUCCUUGUCGGGUAAGUUCCGACCUGCACGAAUGGCGUAAUGAUGGCCAGGCUGUCUCCACCCGAGACUCAGUGAAAUUGAACUCGCUGUGAAGAUGCAGUGUACCCGCGGCAAGACGGAAAGACCCCGUGAACCUUUACUAUAGCUUGACACUGAACAUUGAGCCUUGAUGUGUAGGAUAGGUGGGAGGCUUUGAAGUGUGGACGCCAGUCUGCAUGGAGCCGACCUUGAAAUACCACCCUUUAAUGUUUGAUGUUCUAACGUGGACCCGUAAUCCGGGUUGCGGACAGUGUCUGGUGGGUAGUUUGACUGGGGCGGUCUCCUCCUAAAGAGUAACGGAGGAGCACGAAGGUUGGCUAAUCCUGGUCGGACAUCAGGAGGUUAGUGCAAUGGCAUAAGCCAGCUUGACUGCGAGCGUGACGGCGCGAGCAGGUGCGAAAGCAGGUCAUAGUGAUCCGGUGGUUCUGAAUGGAAGGGCCAUCGCUCAACGGAUAAAAGGUACUCCGGGGAUAACAGGCUGAUACCGCCCAAGAGUUCAUAUCGACGGCGGUGUUUGGCACCUCGAUGUCGGCUCAUCACAUCCUGGGGCUGAAGUAGGUCCCAAGGGUAUGGCUGUUCGCCAUUUAAAGUGGUACGCGAGCUGGGUUUAGAACGUCGUGAGACAGUUCGGUCCCUAUCUGCCGUGGGCGCUGGAGAACUGAGGGGGGCUGCUCCUAGUACGAGAGGACCGGAGUGGACGCAUCACUGGUGUUCGGGUUGUCAUGCCAAUGGCACUGCCCGGUAGCUAAAUGCGGAAGAGAUAAGUGCUGAAAGCAUCUAAGCACGAAACUUGCCCCGAGAUGAGUUCUCCCUGACUCCUUGAGAGUCCUGAAGGAACGUUGAAGACGACGACGUUGAUAGGCCGGGUGUGUAAGCGCAGCGAUGCGUUGAGCUAACCGGUACUAAUGAACCGUGAGGCUUAACCUU